rnacentral:SRP_RNA from 1 species
GCCGGGCGUGGUGGCGGGUGCCUGUAAUCCCAGCUACUUGGGAGGCUGAGGCAGGAGAAUCGCUUGAAUCCAGGAGGCGGAGGUUGCAGUGAGCUGAGAUCGCGCCACUGCACUUCAGCCUGGGAGACAGAGCGAGACUCCGUCUCAA